UCGUAGGUGGUUUGUCGCGUCGUCUGUGAAAUUCCGGGGCUUAACUCCGGGCGUGCAGGCGAUACGGGCAUAACUUGAGUGCUGUAGGGGAGACUGGAAUUCCUGGUGUAGCGGUGAAAUGCGCAGAUAUCAGGAGGAACACCGAUGGCGAAGGCAGGUCUCUGGGCAGUAACUGACGCUGAGGAGCGAAAGCAUGGGUAGCGAACAGGAUUAGAUACCCUGGUAGUCCAUGCCGUAAACGGUGGGCGCUAGGUGUGGGGGUCUUCCACGACUUCUGUGCCGUAGCUAACGCAUUAAGCGCCCCGCCUGGGGAGUACGGCCGCAAGGCUAAAACUCAAAGGAAUUGACGGGGGCCCGCACAAGCGGCGGAGCAUGUGGAUUAAUUCGAUGCAACGCGAAGAACCUUACCUGGGCUUGACAUAUGCCGGAUCGGCGCAGAGAUGCGUUUUCCCUUGUGGUCGGUAUACAGGUGGUGCAUGGUUGUCGUCAGCUCGUGUCGUGAGAUGUUGGGUUAAGUCCCGCAACGAGCGCAACCCUUGUUUUGUGUUGCCAGCACGUUAUGGUGGGGACUCGCGAGAGACUGCCGGGGUUAACUCGGAGGAAGGUGGGGAUGACGUCAAAUCAUCAUGCCCCNUAUGUCCAGGGCUUCACACAUGCCUACAAUGGUCGGUACAGUGGGUUGCUACACCGUGAGGUGGUGCUAAUCCCUUAAAGCCGGUCUC
rnacentral:rRNA from 1 species